rnacentral:rRNA from 1 species
CCUACGGGUGGCAGCAGUGGGGAAUAUUGCACAAUGGGCGAAACCCUGAUGCAGCGACGCCGCGUGAGUGAAGAAGUAAUUCGUUAUGUAAAGCUCUAUCAGCAGGGACGAAAAUGACGGUACCUGAGGAAGAAUCCGCGGCUAACUACGUGCCAGCAGCCGCGGUAAUACGUAGGGGGCAAGCGUUAUCCGGAGUUACUGGGUGUAAAGGGAGCGUAGACGGCAGGGCAAGUCUGGAGUGAAAGGCGAGGGCUCAACCCCCGGACUGCUCUGGAAACUGUACGGCUGGAGUGCUGGAGAGGUAAGUGGAAUUCCUAGUGUAGCGGUGAAAUGCGUAGAUAUUAGGAGGAACACCAGUGGCGAAGGCGGAUUGCUGGACUGUAACUGACGUUGAGGCUCGAAAGCGUGGGGAGCAAACAGGAUUAGAUACCCCAGUAGUC